CAGCCGCCACGGGAAUACGAAGGGGGCUAGCGUUGCUCGGAAUUACUGGGCGUAAAGGGAGCGUAGGCGGAUCGUUUAGUUGGGGGUGAAAUCCCGGGGCUCAACCUCGGAACUGCCUUCAAUACUGGCGAUCUUGAGUAUGGGAGAGGUGAGUGGAACUCCGAGUGUAGAGGUGAAAUUCGUAGAUAUUCGGAAGAACACCAGUGGCGAAGGCGACUCACUGGCCCAUUACUGACGCUGAGGCUCGAAAGCGUGGGGAGCAAACAGGAUUAGAUACCCCAGUAGUCCCUGUCUCUUAUAC
rnacentral:rRNA from 1 species